UACGUAGGGGGCAAGCGUUGUCCGGAUUUAUUGGGCGUAAAGAGCGUGUAGGCGGUUAGGUAGGUCCGUUGUGAAAACUCGAGGCUCAACCUCGAGACGCCGAUGGAAACCAUCUGACUAGAGUCCGGAAGAGGAGAGUGGAAUUCCUGGUGUAGCGGUGAAAUGCGCAGAUAUCAGGAAGAACACCCGUGGCGAAGGCGGCUCUCCGGAACGCAACUGACGCUGAGACGCGAAAGCGUGGGGAGCAAACAGG
rnacentral:rRNA from 1 species